UACGUAGGUGGCGAGCAUUAUCCGGAAUUACUGGGUGUAAAGGGCGUGUAGGCGGUAUACUAAGUCAGAUGUGAAAUCUCCCGGCUCAACCGGGAGCAUGCAUCUGAAACUGGUAAACUUGAGUGAUAGAGGGGAAAGUGGAACUCCUAGUGUAGCGGUAAAAUGCGUAGAUAUUAGGAGGAACACCAGUGGCGAAGGCGACUUUCUGGCUAUUAACUGACGCUGAGGCGCGAAAGCGUGGGGAGCAAACAGGAUUAGAUACCCUGGUA
rnacentral:rRNA from 1 species